GUGAGGAAUAUUGCGCAAUGGAGGCAACUCUGACGCAGCCAUGCCGCGUGCAGGAAGAAGGCGCUACGCGUUGUAAACUGCUUUUAACCGGGAAGAAACCCCAGGACGUGUCCUGGGUUGACGGUACCGGAGGAAUAAGCACCGGCUAACUUCGUGCCAGCAGCCGCGGUAAUACGAAGGGUGCAAGCGUUAUCCGGAUUCAUUGGGUUUAAAGGGUGCGUAGGCGGAGCGUUAAGUCAGUGGUGAAAUCCUGCAGCUUAACUGUAGACUUGCCAUUGAUACUGGCGCUCUUGAGUGCGCUUGAAGUGGGCGGAAUGUGCCGUGUAGCGGUGAAAUGCUUAGAUAUGGCACAGAACACCAAUUGCGAUGGCAGCUCACUAAGGCGAUACUGACGCUGAGGCACGAAAGCGUGGGGAUCGAACAGGAUUAGAAACCCGAGUAGUCC
rnacentral:rRNA from 1 species